rnacentral:rRNA from 1 species
AUUGAACGCUGGCGGCAGGCCUAACACAUGCAAGUCGAGCGGAGCGGAGGACGGGUGAGUAAUGCCUAGGAAUCUGCCUGGUAGUGGGGGAUAACGUUCGGAAACGGGCGCUAAUACCGCAUCCUAUCAGAUGAGCCUAGGUCGGAUUAGCUAGUUGGUGGGGUAAAGGUCAACCAAGGCGACGAUCCGUAACUGGUCUGAGAGGAUGAUCAGUCACACUGGAACUGAGACACGGUCCAGACUCCUACGGGAGGCAGCAGUGGGGAAUAUUGGACAAUGGGCGAAAGCCUGAUGCAGCCAUGCCGCGUGGUUGAAGAAGGCCUUCGGGUUGUAAAGGCCUUUAAGUUGGGAGGCGUUACCCACAGAAGAAGCACCGGCUAACUUCGUUCCAGCAGCCGCGGUAAUUC